rnacentral:rRNA from 1 species
AUUGAACGCUGGCGGCAGGCCUAACACAUGCAAGUCGAACGAGGGGCGGACGGGUGAGUAAUGUCUGGGAAAGUGCAUGGUGGAGGGGGAUAACUACUAGAAAGGGUAGCUAAUACCGCAUACUAUCGGAUGUGCCCAGAUGGGAUUAGCUAGUAGGUGGGGUAAAGGCUCACCUAGGCGACGAUCCCUAGCUGGUCUGAGAGGAUGACCAGCCACACUGGAACUGAGACACGGUCCAGACUCCUACGGGAGGCAGCAGUGGGGAAUAUUGCACAAUGGGCGCAAGCCUGAUGCAGCCAUGCCGCGUGUAUGAAGAAGGCCUUCGGGUUGUAAAGUACUUUCAGCUGGGAGGCGUUACCCGCAGAAUAAGCACCGGCUAACUCCGUGCCAGCAGCCGCGGUAAUUC